ensembl:lncRNA
UUGUAUUGUUUUCUCUGUUUGAUGGUAGGCCAACUGUGCUGAUGUUAUUCUUGUUACAGCCUAGAAGAGACCGGGCUUCUCCAAAAAUCUCAGCCCAAACUCAUCAGUUCUGCUUGUGAUAGCACAGGUGGAUCUGUAACACACGCUCAUGUGAGCAAUCAAAUGAAGAAGUAUCAAAUGGAGAAGUGGCACCAAGACCUUGAAAACGGGCAGGGUAACUGUUCUUUUCCAAACUCAGUGUCAGGCCCUGCCCUGCCCCGUGUGAUGGUCUCGUGGUUUCCCUGCUGGUUCCUACACACUUCCUCCAGCCUGGCAGGUAACUCCUCUGUGCCACCAGGACUGGGGGCAAUACCGUAUCACCGAGCUGUAUUUUCACACUAAUGAUUUGCACUUCAGAAGUAAUAAUAUAGCAAUCCUUGUGCAAAGGAGACCAUGCAGGUGAUCCAGCCUUGUGCCAAGAACACUUCUUAAAACCCUCGUGGACUAAGUGGUUCAGUCCUUUCACAGUUUAAGUCCUUAAUAUGGAGAAAGCACAGGGACUCAGUGAGACUGUCCACGAGCUGAAUUUACAGCACUGAGGCUGCUCAGAAGAGUCUGAAGACAGCACAACCUGUGAAGUCGCACCCAGUUUAACAAGCACUGGUAGUGCGACGCUGGAGGAAGGCAGCCAGGCUGUGGAGCUGGGGGACAGAGAGAAGAGGACAUUGCUAGGAUGCCAUUCUGCAGAGUCACAGAACAGAACAUCUUUGCUCCAUGAUCUCUUAUGUAAAGAGAAGGACAACUUUUUUUUCUCCUUCAGAAAGGCUCACGUCCUUGUGCUGAGGACAGGGCUGGCCCGUGCACUCGCUCCCAGCCCUGCAGAGCCGGUCCCUUGCUGCCACCAAGUGUUGGACCAGCGCUUGGCAUGCUGGCUUCCCCCAGGUGCCAUUGAACAGCAAUUUGCACGAACCGUAAGGGCAUGCAAGAAACAGAGGCCUCGUUGCUCAAUUGCCCUCUCUGACCACGAACACAGAAAUAUCAAGUAAGGAUUCUAUGUUGCUCAUUUUAAAGCAAUCCGCUAUUAGCGCUCAGAAUGCUAUCAUACUGCCAUGAAUGCUUCCUGCCCCAUUCUCAGAUCAGAACAUUACUCCACUAGUGGACAGAAUUCACUUUCAGUAGUGUAGAACAGGAUUUGUGCUCUGGGCACACAGUAUAUUGCAAUAUAAUUGCAUCCAUCUUUAAAUUAAAACACGAUGUGCCUUUUCUGUUGUAAGAGAAAGAAUCAGAGAUGGAGAAGUUAACUCCACCCCAAAGCAUCCCAUGAAUUUUGUUUAUCUCCAGUUUGGCUUGCACAAUGUGUAGCACCACUGAGUGUACUUGUAGCAUUUGGCACAGAGCAAUUCAGGAGGAGGAGGCCCAGGCAGGAGGGUAAGAAGAUAGCUUACGUUCUCCACCUCUGAGCAAAACAGGUUUCUGAUGAGUACGGUGCAAUGUUACUUCAUGCAAACUGUCAUGUGUCUCUGCUUGAGUCAUCCGUGUGAAUGGAUAUGUGGCAGAGCAAGUCCUUGGAAAACAGGAGUAUUGCCUCUGUCUUCAAUAAAUGUCACUUUCUACAUGGCAGGAAUCGCUAGGGAAGCAUUUCUCUAUAAGAGACCUGAGGGAGGCUGGAAUAAAUUCACACUGUAAUAUACUAUGGAAAAUGGUCAGUAGAGAAGCAUUAAAUUCAAGUCAAUGAGUUUUUUUUCCCCAUCGUUAUUAGAAAGUUGGACACUGCAGAAACACUUGUAGGAACGGACCUGCUGAAGGAUGGUGCAGAGCAAAGGCUGUGCUUAACCCACGAGAGGGAGCUCCGUUUACAUUAAUGGGAUCAGCUUUUUGGUAUUAUUGGCAUGGAAAUCACUUCUCAGUCAGAAGGAGCGCAAUGGGAAGUGAUACAGACUUAUAUUUCCGUGUGAUGCAUUCUUAAAACUCUCAACAUGUCACUGAACAGCUCUGGUGUCAGGAUGGUCAGGAGAUUUUUCUAUGGGAAGAGAAGUCAUGACGCAGUUCUGGCUCCAAUGACCUAAAGUUACUCGUGUUGUUUCCAGGGGCAGAUGAAAUGUUUGUAUCACGCUGUCCAGAUAAAGAGGGAGGAAAAAAAAAUCCCGGUGUAGACAAGGCCUUGUGCUGCAAAUCUUGAAGUUUGCUGCUUCUAUAUUGUAACCAAAAAUGGCUUAUGCUGUGGUUCUGAAAGGUUUCCUUGUUUUCCUCACCUGUAUCAGGGGUAUAACAAAAGAUACCGCUUCUCAUCAAAGUUGCCUUAUGUGAUAUAAAGAGAAUCUGGAAAAUCCCCUAUGGAAGAUCCUUGUUGUUGUUACAAGAAGUUAGGACUCAUCAUCUUCUUUGGCAUCAUUUGUAUUGCACCUUGGUGACAAGGAGAUUUGGCCCUGAUACCAUCCUCCAAAUUCAGGCAAGUGGCUUUGGCACACCUAAAAGGUAAUUUCCAGACAACACAUCCAUGGAGAAUUCUGCUAUCUGAAGGUCCUGGGGGAUCUGAGGUGCUCUCUGAGUAAACCCAAUGCACCAUGAGGUGGGUAGGACAGGGAAGACCUUAUAGAACUCCAAUGGAGAUGGAACGUCAGGGGAGCAGCUCCCUCGCUGUGCUGGGGGCAGGUUUUGGAAGGACAACAUGCCUCUCUCCCAUCCUCAAAGGACGUGGUGGCACACAUGCCCCCCGUCCCUCACCAGCCGUGCAUGAAGACGCCCUGUUCAUCCCUGUGCUCUCAGCCAGGGUGGUCGUCUGUGUGGAAAGCCUAAAGCAAACAAAGGCGAGCUGCAGCCAGAUGUUGGGAGCUUUCAGGUUCACUUAGCGUUCCCGGGGUAGGCAGCACACGCAUGCCUCUGCUCCCUGCUCAGACGGAUAAGCCCAAGCAUCCAUCCCCUUUAAAACCUUUCCCUUUGCAAUGGAAACCACUGCUUACCUUUCCAGAACCAUCUGAGCAAAUACGGACCUUGCAGAAAACGUCAGCAAUUCCUGAUCCAUCAAAGCUGUGCUAAACAAACCCAGCCGAACAAUUUACAACUUGACCUCACGUUGUGCCUGUAAAUGGAUUCUGUGAAAGGCCUUUUCUUGGGCUGGUUAUAUUUUCAUGGUGUAUACAGCAGGCUAAAUUAGCCAAUUCGACAGCUCCCCAGAAUCCUCUUGGCUUUGCUUUUUACUGGGGAGGGCGGAUUUCAGAAUGGACUUGUUGCAAAUCCCCAGAGCACUGCUUUAUCUCAUAGACAGAAAGCCGUUUCCUCUUUACGUGAGGCAAGAAAUUCUGCUCUAUGUGAAAUAAGGACAAGAUUUUGUUAUCUCUAUUUGAGCUUAUAGUGCUCCUUAUUGUGGUGACACUUCUUGAGAAUGACUUCCUAAAGACUCGAGAACAGCUGUUGAUGUAAAAUUGACUUAUGUACCAGUAUCAUGUGGUGGAUUUGGGCUGAUUCCUCCAGGAAGACAUUUUAAAAUCCCCCUAUUAUUUGUGUGAAAGAAGUUGCUCUCAGGUUGUCUUUUGCCAGGAGGGAAAUCAAUUCAUGGGACUGCUGCUCCACCUUGUACAGAUUACAGAAUCUGAGGCAAGCCCACCAUUCUCCUCUAAGAGUGAUGGCCAUGCUCUACUUCUCAAUAAUGGAAUAAUAGUGGAAAUAAACAUCGUCAUGAACAUUAAAUACUGCUUUCAUCACUGUCAUCCUAGCCCUAUGCAUAUUUGGCCACUUAAGUCAUGCCGGAGCCCACAAGGAGCCUCAGUGCAUGUAAAAUUUCCCUCAUCAGAGAUUUCAAAGCCUGCAGCUCUUGAUAAACAGCCGAGGACCUCCCCUAACGAAUCAGCUCAAGGAAAAAACUACACCAGGUCUGAGAGAAUAGCGCAGCCAAACACAUUGGGAUGAUUAAGGGAUACCAUUCUUGUUUCUAAAUUAACUUAACUUUCCCACUCAAAAGUACAUUUAAAUCACAAAGGGGAAAGAUGAUGCUGUUUUUCCUGCAAAGGAAUCAUGAGCUCGGUCUCCUUAUAAUCCAUGCCCAGAUUACAUUAAAAUAAAACCACUAAUUUCAAAGGCUUUCCUGAAAGAUGGUUUAAGGUUCUCACACUCCUGGCUAAACGGCUAAUGAGCAUGAAUAUGGCAGAUUUAAAGAAAGGAUUAAGCAGCAUAUUUCUUGUGAGGUCCUCAGAGCUGCAUCAUUUUAUUUUGUUUCCAGAUCUGGUUUGUGAACUACAAUCUGAUGCCAGCAAGAUGACAGGGAAACAUAGAAACAGGUAUCAUAGCCAGCUUUUUAGGCACUCGGGGAGAUUAGAAUAGUAAACUGUGAAUUAUAUGAUUUUUCACAGGAAGAAAUGCUUAAAGGAUAAGAAGUAUAUUGUGAUGGGCUCUGAAUGCCAGGUAGCCAUGAGGACACCAAGUUUGUAGUAUAGUUUUUUACUAGUGCCUACUUUCAGCAGUAUGUACGCCUCCUGUGUCCUCCUCAGCUUCACCUCCCUCCCCC